ACCUAUCAUUGACAUUUCGAAUUCGCUAGUCAUUAACUUAGAGAAUUCCUUGCAUAAAAACUCAUUAGUAGCACCAAAAAUAUAUCAUCGACAUAAAUUUGAACUAAUAGAAUGUCAUUGUUUUUAUUUUUGAUAUACAGUGUAGUGUCAACUUUCCCCCUUUCGAACUCAUUGUCCAAAAGAAAUUUGCUUAAGCGCU
rnacentral:lncRNA from 1 species